UACGUAGGCAGCGAGCGUUGUUCGGAAUUACUGGGCGUAAAGCACACGUAGGCGGCUUUGCAAGUCAGAGGUGAAAGCCCGGGGCUCAACCCCGGAAUUGCCUUUGAGACUGCAUCGCUAGAAUUGUGGAGAGGUAAGUGGAAUUCCGAGUGUAGAGGUGAAAUUCGUAGAUAUUCGGAAGAACACCAGUGGCGAAGGCGACUUACUGGACACAUAUUGACGCUGAGGUGCGAAAGCGUGGGGAGCAAACAGG
rnacentral:rRNA from 1 species